UACCUUGAGUCGCUGUUGCUCUUCCAUUGUGGCCCUCAGUCUGCGCUGCUGGGAGCCAGGAAACUUUUUUAAGCCACAUACCUGAUGUCGCCUGUAAGCGGCUCCGCUGCGUUUAGUCUAAUUUGACGCGUAUUUUGCGGUUUUGUCGCUCCGUCGUUGUGCGUCUCCGCAGCGAAACGGGAUGCUGUGAGCGGGCGUGUUUCUGCGGGGAUGACAGCGCCAUUCCUUUGCGUCUGUGAGCGAAUCAGUCCCACUUGAGCCUCACAUCUCCGCACGGGACUGUGCGCCGAGGAGGCGCAUAAAGCCAUGCGCCCACAUGACCGAGGGUUUU